UUAGUUUACUAUUGGAGCGGUUAGUGGCGGACUGGUGAGUAACACGUAAGCAACCUGCCUAUCAGAGGGGAACAACAGUUAGAAAUGACUGCUAAUACCGCAUAUGCCUUGAGUAUCACAAGGUACAAAAGGGAAAGGAGCAAUCCGCUGAUAGAUGGGCUUGCGUCUGAUUAGAUAGUUGGUGAGGUAACGGCCCACCAAGUCGACGAUCAGUAGCCGGACUGAGAGGUUGAACGGCCACAUUGGGACUGAGAUACGGCCCAGACUCC
rnacentral:rRNA from 1 species